UGUGGGGGGAUUAGUGGCGAACGGGUGAGUAACACGUGAGUAACCUGCCCUUAACUCUGGGAUAAGCCUGGGAAACUGGGUCUAAUACCGGAUAUGACUCCUCAUCGCAUGGUGGGGGGUGGAAAGCUUUAUUGUGGUUUUGGAUGGACUCGCGGCCUAUCAGCUUGUUGGUGAGGUAAUGGCUCACCAAGGCGACGACGGGUAGCCGGCCUGAGAGGGUGACCGGCCACACUGGGACUGAGACACGGCCCAGACUCCUACGGGAGGCAGCAGUGGGGAAUAUUGCACAAUGGGCGCAAGCCUGAUGCAGCGACGCCGCGUGAGGGAUGACGGCCUUCGGGUUGUAAACCUCUUUCAGUAGGGAAGAAGCGAAAGUGACGGUACCUGCAGAAGAAGCGCCGGCUAACUACGUGCCAGCAGCCGCGGUAAUACGUAGGGCGCAAGCGUUAUCCGGAAUUAUUGGGCGUAAAGAGCUCGUAGGCGGUUUGUCGCGUCUGCCGUGAAAGUCCGGGGCUCAACUCCGGAUCUGCGGUGGGUACGGGCAGACUAGAGUGAUGUAGGGGAGACUGGAAUUCCUGGUGUAGCGGUGAAAUGCGCAGAUAUCAGGAGGAACACCGAUGGCGAAGGCAGGUCUCUGGGCAUUAACUGACGCUGAGGAGCGAAAGCAUGGGGAGCGAACAGGAUUAGAUACCCUGGUAGUCCAUGCCGUAAACGUUGGGCACUAGGUGUGGGGGACAUUCCACGUUUUCCGCGCCGUAGCUAACGCAUUAAGUGCCCCGCCUGGGGAGUACGGCCGCAAGGCUAAAACUCAAAGGAAUUGACGGGGGCCCGCACAAGCGGCGGAGCAUGCGGAUUAAUUCGAUGCAACGCGAAGAACCUUACCAAGGCUUGACAUGAACCGGAAAGACCUGGAAACAGGUGCCCCGCUUGCGGUCGGUUUACAGGUGGUGCAUGGUUGUCGUCAGCUCGUGUCGUGAGAUGUUGGGUUAAGUCCCGCAACGAGCGCAACCCUCGUUCUAUGUUGCCAGCGCGUUAUGGCGGGGACUCAUAGGAGACUGCCGGGGUCAACUCGGAGGAAGGUGGGGACGACGUCAAAUCAUCAUGCCCCUUAUGUCUUGGGCUUCACGCAUGCUACAAUGGCCGGUACAAAGGGUUGCGAUACUGUGAGGUGGAGCUAAUCCCAAAAAGCCGGUCUCAGUUCGGAUUGGGGUCUGCAACUCGACCCCAUGAAGUCGGAGUCGCUAGUAAUCGCAGAUCAGCAACGCUGCGGUGAAUACGUUCCCGGGCCUUGUACACACCGCCCGUCAAGUCACGAAAGUUGGUAACACCCGAAGCCGGUG
rnacentral:rRNA from 1 species